GACAGCGCCACGACAGACUAGAGCUUGAUACCAUCACUUGCACAUAAUAGCUCCUUGCAUAACCAACCCGAAGGGGAUCUCGUACCUGAGUCCAGUUUCGAUGUUGGCGGGAACAACUCCCAACUAAUAGGUAAAUUACAACACGUGUCCUGAAUACUUGGUAUCCACAGCAUCUGUAUCUGCACACCAAAAUGCUGCUGAAUUUGUAACUUGUGAAGGAGGAAUAUUCCAAUUCGUAUAGAGGGACAUUUACUAUAACUGUGCCAACAAGAUAGCAGAAACCAAGUGACUUAAGAACAUUUGACCCUAAAAUUAUGAAAUACCGUAGAUUGUAAAUUUAUAACAACUGAAGUUCAUGUAUCUAUUCACUGGCUGAAAAAGAGUGCUUUUGAUAUUUUUUAUUUAGAUUUGCCAACAUCAUUCUAUGUCAUACUAUUCAGUGACAUGUUAUCUAAGUUACAUUAGCAUGUAGUCCUAUACAAAUUCAGACAUUAUCUUGUUAAAUAACUGCUGAACAAUUUUGAUAGAAUAUUAUGUAAUGAGAAUCAGACGCCAUACAUCUAGAUGUUUUCUUAUUAUAGGCAUUGAGAUAAGGUCAUUUAUCCUUUUAAUGGUUGAAGCGAUUUGCUUUGUUAAUAUGUAACUGAGGGCACGAUCAGAGGUGAGACAACACUGCCAGCUGGUCAGAGCCAAAGGAAAACCUACCUCCCUCCUCCUAAAUGGGGGUAGGGUUGGGUAGCCUGCUCUCCAGCAUAUUCUGAUCUAACUUAGGUGGCAAAA